rnacentral:rRNA from 1 species
UACGUAGGGGGCAAGCGUUGUCCGGAUUUACUGGGCGUAAAGAGCGCGCAGGCGGUCGUUCAAGUCGAGUGUGAAAGCCCCCGGCUCAACUGGGGAGGGUCACUCGAUACUGAUCGACUUGAAGGCAGGAGAGGGAAGCGGAAUUCCCGGUGUAGUGGUGAAAUGCGUAGAUAUCGGGAGGAACACCAGUGGCGAAGGCGGCUUCCUGGCCUGCUCUUGACGCUGAGGCGCGAAAGCUAGGGUAGCAAACGGG